AACGAACGCUGGCGGCAUGCCUAACACAUGCAAGUCGAACGAAGUCUUCGGACUUAGUGGCGCACGGGUGCGUAACGCGUGGGAAUCUGCCUUUGGGUUCGGAAUAACAGUGAGAAAUUACUGCUAAUACCGGAUGAUGUCUUCGGACCAAAGAUUUAUCGCCCAAAGAUGAGCCCGCGUAAGAUUAGCUAGUUGGUGAGGUAAAGGCUCACCAAGGCGACGAUCUUUAGCUGGUCUGAGAGGAUGAUCAGCCACACUGGAACUGAGACACGGUCCAGACUCCUACGGGAGGCAGCAGUGGGGAAUAUUGGACAAUGGGCGAAAGCCUGAUCCAGCCAUGCCGCGUGUGUGAAGAAGGCCUUAGGGUUGUAAAGCUCUUUUACCCGGGAUGAUAAUGACAGUACCGGGAGAAUAAGCUCCGGCUAACUCCGUGCCAGCAGCCGCGGUAAAGUCAGUG
rnacentral:rRNA from 1 species